rnacentral:rRNA from 1 species
AGGGAAUCUUCCACAAUGGACGCAAGUCUGAUGGAGCAACGCCGCGUGAGUGAAGAAGGCUUUCGGGUCGUAAAACUCUGUUGUUGGAGAAGAAUGGUCGGCAGAGUAACUGUUGUCGGCGUGACGGUAUCCAACCAGAAAGCCACGGCUAACUACGUGCCAGCAGCCGCGGUAAUACGUAGGUGGCAAGCGUUAUCCGGAUUUAUUGGGCGUAAAGCGAGCGCAGGCGGUUUUUUAAGUCUGAUGUGAAAGCCCUCGGCUUAACCGAGGAAGCGCAUCGGAAACUGGGAAACUUGAGUGCAGAAGAGGACAGUGGAACUCCAUGUGUAGCGGUGAAAUGCGUAGAUAUAUGGAAGAACACCAGUGGCGAAGGCGGCUGUCUGGUCUGUAACUGACGCUGAGGCUCGAAAGCAUGGGUAGCGAACAGGAUUAGAUACCCUGGUAGUCCAUGCCGUAAACGAUGAAUGCUAGGUGUUGGAGGGUUUCCGCCCUUGCAGUGCCGCAGCUAACGCAUUAAGCAUUCCGCCUGGGGAGUACGACCGCAAGGUUGAAAC